rnacentral:rRNA from 1 species
UGGGGAAUAUUGGACAAUGGGCGCAAGCCUGAUCCAGCCGUGCCGCGUGAGUGAUGAAGGCCCUAGGGUUGUAAAGCUCUUUUGUGCGGGAAGAUAAUGACGGUACCGCAAGAAUAAGCCCCGGCUAACUUCGUGCCAGCAGCCGCGGUAAUACGAAGGGGGCUAGCGUUGCUCGGAAUCACUGGGCGUAAAGGGUGCGUAGGCGGGUCUUUAAGUCAGGGGUGAAAUCCUGGAGCUCAACUCCAGAACUGCCUUUGAUACUGAGGAUCUUGAGUUCGGGAGAGGUGAGUGGAACUGCGAGUGUAGAGGUGAAAUUCGUAGAUAUUCGCAAGAACACCAGUGGCGAAGGCGGCUCACUGGCCCGAUACUGACGCUGAGGCACGAAAGCGUGGGGAGCAAACA